GUAACCUACACAUGCUAAAUGUGGCUUACAAAUCUUUUGACUUCAUGGAAGACGCACACCAUCAAGAAUAAUUCGUUUGAGACCCACUUGGCUUACCUAAAGUCAAUGAAAAGCCAACUAAGACAUUAAUUUGUAGUGGUGAAAUUCGCCUCAGCAUGGACACAUAUCACCUACCUGGUUGCCUUCUUUAAAGAUAAGAAAAAUGUUUUUUAAAUCUCAUCAAUUGACUUUAUUUGAAAAGUUCCUGUCCUCUUUAAAUCAUUCUGAAAAUGUAAGUGCUGGUGUAUUUCGGCCCUCCAACACAGAAAAGAAAGAAGUUUCUCCGUGUGAUGAUAAUUCAGUUAGGAAUACUAUGUGCUAUGCCCCCAAAAGACAUUCCUCUGUUAUAACAUUGCUAGAAACCUGUGAUUGGGAGUAGAGAAAUUGUACAUGGGUGAUCCUUAUUAAGGCCAACUUGAAAAUUCUUCUCUCCACAGCAGCACUUCACGGGGAGAAAGGGGGAAAUUUCUCUGCUUGCAAGUGAAAUUCAACCAAAUGAUAAUAUGCUGUUAGAUAAUAUGCCCUUUCAGACACUGAUCAAGUGAACUUUUUUCUCAAUUCAAGACGACAUCUUCUUUGAAGCUAUGCUAUCACUCGAUAUUAAUUUUAAUGUGUAUUUACUAAUCUCCAAAAUUCAGUUCAUUCUCUGCUGGUUUUCUUUACCGUCAGGUAGAUUAAAAUAUUCCUAAAUACUGCCUCCUUGGAAGAUUCCUGAAGUGUUCUAAGCCUUCCCAGAAGCUAUUGGUCAAUGUUAAACAAUACUGAGAAUUCUAAAGUAAUUCCACACAGUAAUGCCCACUGGUAAAACCCCAAGGAAGAGAUGCUACCAACUGUGUCGCUGAUGGAUGAGAGCUGUUUCAUGUUUUUCUUCCUAAAUAGUUUCCUUUGAUAUUUUAACAGUUUUAUGGUAAUGUAUUUUUGUGUUGUUUUCUCUUUCCUUAGUCUUCUUCUCCCUUCCCUCCUGCACCUCUCCUCCAUCCUCUUUCCUCACGGAUGGUCCAGUCGCUGUGGUCAGCCUCUGUGCCCCACCUGGGUAGCUGAUGAAGGAGGUGCAGUUGGUUUUGCCAGUUUAGUCAACUUCAGAACAUCAGUGGGCUCUCAAAACACUUCUUCAGCUCCCAGGGCACUGCUCAGCCAUCUUCUUCUCAUUUUGGAACUAGCAACAGGUUUUAAGAGGCUAUUCAACUCUUUUGUGGCCUUUCCAGCACAUACCAGAGCGAGGAGAAAAUAUACAUGCUUUCUGAGGGUUUCUAGAGCAUUUUGAGCAGUUGGGAGCAUGUGGACAAGGAAUGGUGAAAACAGACGGAGAGCUGAAACAAUAAAACCAGGAAAAAAUGUUAUGAGGUCA
ensembl:lncRNA